rnacentral:rRNA from 1 species
GAAAACUUUGACGAUGGAUCUCUUGGCUCUGGCAUCGAUGAAGAACGCAGCGAAACGCGAUAGGGUGAUGCGAUUUGCACAGCAUAGCGAACCAUUGAAUCUUUGAACGCACAUUGCGCCCCUCUGCCGUUUCACGGUUCGGGGGGCACGCCUGUCCGAGCGUCGCCAUGAAUGUCGAGCCUUACGGGCUUGGUUUUGGGGCUUUUAUCCCUCUGGCCAUGCUUUUGGCCUGGAUUGCCUUGCAAGCUGUUGGUGGUGCCCCUGGUGCCUUUGGUUGCAGCUAGGGUUGGGUAAAAAUGCCAUUCUGCCUGCGCGCAAAUUGCGCGCAGAAUGGAAACGGAUUCUGCGCUUCCCCUGGACAAGGUGGCCCUCUUUUUUGUAUGGCCUGACCAUUCCAAAUUUGGCGUGAGGCAAAAAGCCACCGGAAAAAUGAAGAGGGCAGAUUGCUCCUCUGCGCGCAAAUUGCUAUUUCUGCUAACCGCAGCUGCUGUUUGCCCAUCUCUAGUUGCAGCGUGUUACGAUGGCGACUCUAAAGGGAUGACCAGUUUUGGGCCGAUGCUAACUGAAAUCAUGGAAGUGUUGAAAAAAAAUGUUCGACCUCGGAUCAGGUGGGGACACCCGCUGAACUUAAGCAUAUCAAUAAGCGGAGGAAAAGAAACCAACCGGGAUUGCCUCAGUAACGGCGAGCGAAGCGGCAAGAGCCCAAAUUUGAAAUCCGGCAACAGCUGGAGUUGUAAUUUGCAGAGGAUGUUUCGUCGGUCGUGCCCUGGCCCCAUGUUCCCUGGAAUGGGAUGUCACAGAGGGUGAGAACCCCGUAGGGGCUGGUGGCUGCGGCUGCAGCAGAGCGAAAGCUUUGCGAAGCGCCUUCGACGAGUCGAGUUGUUUGGGAAUGCAGCUCA